rnacentral:rRNA from 1 species
AGUGAACGCUGGCGGUAGGCCUAACACAUGCAAGUCGAACGGCAGCACAGUAAGAGCUUGCUCUUACGGGUGGCGAGUGGCGGACGGGUGAGGAAUACAUCGGAAUCUACUUUUUCGUGGGGGAUAACGUAGGGAAACUUACGCUAAUACCGCAUACGACCUACGGGUGAAAGCAGGGGAUCUUCGGACCUUGCGCGAUUGAAUGAGCCGAUGUCGGAUUAGCUAGUUGGCGGGGUAAAGGCCCACCAAGGCGACGAUCCGUAGCUGGUCUGAGAGGAUGAGCAGCCACACUGGAACUGAGACACGGUCCAGACUCCUACGGGAGGCAGCAGUGGGGAAUAUUGGACAAUGGGCGCAAGCCUGAUCCAGCCAUACCGCGUGGGUGAAGAAGGCCUUCGAGUUGUAAAGCCCUUUUGUUGGGAAAGAAAAGCAGCAGGUUAAUACCCCGCUGUUCUGACGGUACCCAAAGAAUAAGCACCGGCUAACUUCGUG